GGAUGUGAGUGUGAUCUGGCUGCAACAUCUGUCACCCCAUUGAUUACCAGGGUUGAUUUGACUGAUCUGGCUGGCUAGGUGGGUGUCCCCUUCCUCUCUCAACACUCGAGGUGUGUCCCUGCUGAAGCUGCGCACUUAGUCAAAGAGGAAAACCACCCCCAUGAAGCAGAACCGUUCUCUCAAGGGUAUAUGAGUAGCUGCACUUCCCUGCUAGAACCUCCAAACAAGCUAUCUAGGACAGGAUGUUGUAAUGUUCCUUCCAGAACUCUUUAAGGCUUAAAUCUGUAUCU
rnacentral:snRNA from 1 species